UGGGGAAUAUUGCACAAUGGGCGAAAGCCUGAUGCAGCGACGCCGCGUGAGGGAUGACGGCCUUCGGGUUGUAAACCUCUUUCAGUAGGGAAGAAGCGAAAGUGACGGUACCUGCAGAAGAAAUCGCCGGCUAACUACGUGC
rnacentral:rRNA from 1 species